AUACAAGCGAUGAAAAGAAAUAGUACACAAAGCCUGGCAUUACAGAGAGUCCCCAUCCGCUGAAAGGGGAUAUGUACAGCUUGUGGAACACAUCUUGGAGCUGCAGAUGCGAACCAACAGUAGUAUCUGCCGGUGACUCCGUUACCUGUCAGAGUACGGUAUUCCUAAAACAGUGUGGUUUUAAAGAAUAUCGGAUACUCAUUGAGGUCAGUAGCCGUAAGGGACUGAUAAAUUGAGGUGGAACCACGUAAGCACAGCUUUCGUCCUCUGG
rnacentral:ncRNA from 1 species